rnacentral:rRNA from 1 species
UGGGGAAUAUUGCACAAUGGAGGGAACUCUGAUGCAGCGACGCCGCGUGAACGAAGAAGGCUCUCGAGUCGUAAAGUUCUUUUAUAUGGGAAGAUAAUGACGGUACCAUAAGAAAAAGCCCCGGCUAACUACGUGCCAGCAGCCGCGGUAAUACGUAGGGGGCUAGCGUUGUUCGGAAUCACUGGGCGUAAAGGGUUCGCAGGCGGAAAUGCAAGUCAGGUGUAAAAGGCAGUAGCUUAACUACUGUAAGCAUUUGAAACUGCAUAUCUUGAGAAGAGUAGAGGUAAGUUGAAUUUUUAGUGUAGCGGUGAAAUGCGUAGGUAUUAAAAAGAAUACCGGUGGCGAAGGCGGCUUACUGGGCUCAUUCUGACGCUGAGGAACGAAAGCGUGGGUAGCAAACGGG